UUGAACAAACCGGUGUUGGCUGAGCUGGCCUCUUUGGAGGCAUGUGCACGGUCCACCAUUGUUUCAUCCUUCUCUUCCACCUGUGCACUUCUGUGGGCCCACUCCAGCACACUUUGUGUGCUGGAAUCUGGCGCCUACGUUUUACUACCCACACCAUUGAAUGUUAAGAACGCAUGAAUAGGGCAUUUGCCCAUAAAACCUUAUA
rnacentral:misc_RNA from 1 species